AGGGCACCACCAGGAGUGGAGCCUGCGGCUUAAUUUGACUCAACACGGGAAAUCUCACCAGGCCCGGACACUGGAAGGAUUGACAGAUUGAGAGCUCUUUCUCGAUUCGGUGGGUGGUGGUGCAUGGCCGUUCUUAGUUGGUGGAGUGAUUUGUCUGGUUAAUUCCGAUAACGAACGAGACUCUGUCCUGCUAAAUAGUUCCCGCGUCCUUUGUUGCGCGGGAAAUUCUUCUUAGAGGGACAGGUGGCGGUUCAGCCGCACGAAAGAGAGCAAUAACAGGUCUGUGAUGCCCUUUGAUGUCCGGGGCCGCACGCGCGCUACACUGAAGAGAUCAGCGUGCUUGACGUUCCUGCUCCGGUCGGAGUGGGGAACCCAGUGAAACCUCUUCGUGAUUGGGAUUGAAGAUUGUAAUUUUUCUUCAUGAACGAGGAACACCCAGUAAAUGCGAGUCAUCAGCUCGCGUUGAUUACGUCCCUGCCCUUUGUACACACCGCCCGUCGCUACUACCGAUUGAACGAU
rnacentral:rRNA from 1 species